AAUGAACGCUGGCGGCAUGCCUAACACAUGCAAGUCGAGCGGAUGUAGGGAGCUCGUUCCUCGAUGCAGCGGCGGACGGGCGAGUGAUGCCUAGGAAUCUGCCCGGCAGUGGGGGCUAACGUCAGGAAACGGGCCCUGAUACCGCAUCCGUCCAGAGAGAGAAACGGAGGGAUCCUUGGACCUCGCGCUUUCAGCUGACCCUAGGUCGGAUAUGCUAGUUGGUUGGGUAAAGGCCUACCAAGGCGACUAUCCGUAACUGCCCGGGGAGGAUGAUCAGUCACACUGGAACUGAGACACGGUCCAGACUCCUACGGGAGGCAGCAGUAGGGAAUAUUGGGCAAUGGGCGAAAGCCUGAUCCAGCAAUGCCGCGUGUGUGAAGAAGGUCUUCGGAUUGUAAAGCACUUUAAGUUGGGAGGAAGGGAAGUAAGUUAAUACCUUGCUGUUUUGACGUUACCUACAGAAAAAGCACCGGCUAACUUCGUG
rnacentral:rRNA from 1 species